rnacentral:rRNA from 1 species
UACAGAGGUCUCAAGCGUUGUUCGGAUUCAUUGGGCGUAAAGGGUGCGUAGGUGGCAAAGUAAGUUGGAUGUGAAAUCCUGGGGCUCAACCUCAGAAUUGCAUUCAAUACUGCUUAGCUAGAGAGCUGUAGAGGAGACUGGAAUUUACGGUGUAGCAGUGAAAUGCGUAGAUAUCGUAAGGAACGCCAGUGGCGAAAGCGAGUCUCUGGGCAGCAUCUGACACUGAGGCACGAAGGCCAGGGGAGCAAACGGG